rnacentral:rRNA from 1 species
UACGUAGGGGGCAAGCGUUGUCCGGAAUCAUUGGGCGUAAAGAGCGUGUAGGCGGCCCGGUAAGUCCGCCGUGAAAGUCCAGGGCUCAACCCUGGGAUGCCGGUGGAAACUGUCGGGCUAGAGUCCGGAAGAGGCGAGUGGAACUCCUGGUGUAGCGGUGGAAUGCGCAGAUAUCAGGAAGAACACCAACGGCGAAGGCAGCUCGCUAGGACGGUACUGACGCUGAGACGCGAAAGCGUGGGGAGCGAACAGG